rnacentral:lncRNA from 1 species
CAGUAAACCAAAUUUUCAAAAUCUAAUAUUUUGAAUACAUGAUUAGUUGAAUAGAAAGUUUUGCGUUAUAUGUUAAGCGUUUACGAUAAGGCUUAGAAUGUAAAAAUAAUUUACAAUAUUGUCGUCAAGACGAAAACGAAACCAAAGGAUAAAAGGACCUGUGAACAAAGCUGGAGGACAAUCAGACCCGACAUUGAAAUUUUUGCGAAUACGGACGCUCAAGCUAUGCAGAACGGAUUACCAGCAGCGAAAAAUCAACCAGAUAAUCGAACGUCGAACGUUAAAGACUUCAAAGUGGUCCUAUUGCCAGGAUUUAGAAUAUCAACUGACCCGGUAG